UACCGCCAGCUCACCCAGCGCAAUCCGCGCAUGAGCUGGGGGGGGGAGUUAUCCAUCCGCAUUUCUUAUGUCUGUUAGCACGUCAUAUGGCGUGACAGCUGUCACGUCAAAACAUCUGGAGCGCACAAAUCAUGUGCCACGACCGAGUUAGCCGUUAUCCGCAGGUGGCUAAGCCAACCGAAGGUAGUAAGGCGAACCGUGUGUUGAUUUUAUUUGAGACUUUGGGUAGCGUAUAAGGCGCUUUCCGUUGUGAUUUGAGGAUGUUAGGUUGUCGUUCAUCUGUCGUUAGUCGGAUGAGUGUUACGCAUACAGGGUAGGGCCGGGUGUGAUAAGGCCCGGCGUGGAUCAGUAGGUACUUCGCCAUAAAUGCGAGUGCGAAGAGGCCAAACAUUUGUCGUUUGGCUCUCGAAGCAACUCUUCGUGAGCGUAUAGACCAUUAUAUUAUUGAAGAUAAUAUAAUUAUAGGAGGGUUGAUAGGACUGUUUGGUGUAACAAGACUGCAAUCCUACCCUACCUCGAGACGCGCAUCAGAGCAGGAUAGACAGAGAGUGUACACACAGCAUUCCAUAAGGUCCGCCCUUAGUGCUCCUACCUCUAGGCU
rnacentral:lncRNA from 1 species